GCGAAAAUAGCUCAGGUGCGAGAGCGUAUGACUAUAGAUCAUAGGUCCCUGGUUCAAUCCCGGAAUUUGCCA
rnacentral:tRNA from 1 species